rnacentral:rRNA from 1 species
UACGUAGGGGGCAAGCGUUGUCCGGAAUCAUUGGGCGUAAAGCGCGUGUAGGCGGUUCGGUAAGUCUGCUGUGAAAGUCCAGGGCUCAACCCUGGGAUGCCGGUGGAUACUGUCGGACUAGAGUACGGAAGAGGCGAGUGGAAUUCCGGGUGUAGCGGUGGAAUGCGUAGAGAUCCGGAAGAACACCGGUGGCGAAGGCGGCCUGCUGGGACAAUGCUGACGCUGAGGCGCGACAGCGUGGGGAGCAAACAGG